UGACAAGAAACAAUGUAAUGUGGAACCGUACAGCAGAAGGGAUUGCGGCUACCCCACAAUAAGUGCAGCGGAAUGUAAGAAGAGGAAUUGUUGCUUUGACUGCAGCAUUCCCGGGGUUAACUGGUGUUUCUUCAAGUCACAAGGAAGUGACAAGAAACAAUGUAAUGUGGAACCGUACAGCAGAAGGGAUUGCGGCUACCCCACAAUAAGUGCAGCGGAAUGUAAGAAGAGGAAUUGUUGCUUUGACUGCAGCAUUCCCGGGGUUAACUGGUGUUUCUUCAAGUCACAAGGACUCAAGGCGCUUGAGAUAUGGCUUCUGGAACUGAACACAGGAUUCUAAAUGUGGCUGUACCAAGGACCUAUACAGUGGCAUUACAGGUUGAGUAUCCCUUAUCCAAAA